UACGGAGGAUCCAAGCGUUAUCCGGAAUCAUUGGGUUUAAAGGGUCCGUAGGCGGUUUUGUAAGUCAGUGGUGAAAUCUGGUCGCUCAACGAUCAAACGGCCAUUGAUACUGCAAGACUUGAAUUAUUGUGAAGUAACUAGAAUAUGUAGUGUAGCGGUGAAAUGCUUAGAUAUUACAUGGAAUACCAAUUGCGAAGGCAGGUUACUAACAAUACAUUGACGCUGAUGGACGAAAGCGUGGGGAGCGAACAGG
rnacentral:rRNA from 1 species